rnacentral:rRNA from 1 species
CCCUUAGAUGUUCUGGGCUGCACGCGCGCUACACUGAAGCUAUCAACACGUUUUCCCUCCUUGAGAAGGGCGGGUAACCUUUUGAAUCAGCUUCGUGGUAGGGAUCGGGGCUUGCAAUUGUUCCCCGUGAACCAGGAAUUCCUAGUAGACGCGAGUCAUAAGCUCGCAUCGAUUAAGUCCCUGCCCUUUGUACGCACCGCCCGUCGCUACUACCGAUUGAACGUUUUAGUGAGGCAUUUGGACCGACGCAUCUCAGUUUAACCGCUGGUUUGUGUUGGAAAGACUUCCAAACUUGAGCGUUUAGAGGAAGUAAAAGUCGUAACA